GACGAACGCUGGCGGCGUGGAUUAGGCAUGCAAGUCGAACGGUAUCAUCCUUUCGGGGGUGAGAGAGUGGCGAACUGGUGAGUAACACGUAGGUUAUCUACCCUCAAGACGGGGACAACCCAGGGAAACUUGGGCUAAUACCGGAUGUGAGCAACUUUUAGUUGUUUGAAAGGUGGCGUAAGCUGUCGCUUGGGGAUGAGCCUGCGUCCUAUUAGUUAGUUGGUGAGGUAACGGCUCACCUAGGCAAUGAUAGGUAGGCGGCCUUAACGGGUGGUCGCCCACACUGGGAUUGAGAUACGGCCCAGACUCCUACGGGAGGCAGCAGUCGAGAAUAGUCUACAAUGGUCGGAAGACUGAUAGUGCGACGCCGCGUGAACGAUGAAUCCCUUCGGGGUGUAAACUCCUGUCAGAAGGGACGAAAUCCCGCAAGGGACUGACGGUACCUUCAGAGGAAGCCCCGGCUAACUACGUG
rnacentral:rRNA from 1 species